rnacentral:lncRNA from 1 species
GCUGACCUCAAACUCACGAGCCUCUUCCUUCGUGUGCACAACACACCUGGCACACUCCUGCUAACUCUCACCUGCGCAUCAGCGUAGGCUUGAUGGAGGAGGGAAGUUUCGAAUGGAAUUUCAAAAGAUACAAUACCCACGUUGUAGGCCAAGAGGUCUCAGAAGAGUCACUCCCUGCGAGAACAGCAGCGGAAGGGUUGGCAUGUCUGGAGAAAGAUGAAUAUGGAGGAUGGACAGAAGAAGAGACAUCUGGAGAAAUAGGUUUCCCACCGCCCUGGUUUGCUAGACCCACACCCGCAGGCAUCGGGAAUCUACAGAACCUGGAUGAAGAGAAGCCUAGAGGUGGAACUGGGAGAGAAGACCAAGGUUUUGCCAAGUAUCCCCAUAAAGCAGUCAUGGUGGUGCAUGCCUGUAAUCUCAGCACUCGGGAGGCUGAGGCAGGAGGAUCACGAUUGAACCCAGAGUCUCAGCACGACACCAAACCCUCUACCGCGGAGGCACGUGCCCAGCCCUGUGAGUAGGUUUUGAAAUUCUCCUGGGACCUGCUUCUUACAAGAGCAAGACGCCAAAGGAAGAUUUCAGAAAAGGACCCCAAGGGCCUUGCUUGAUUUCGAAAUCAAGGAGCAGAGGUCCCGGGCUCCUCCCACCCUGGCCCCUGGGGGUGCGGCAGUGGGCAUGGCUUCUGGGUGGGCGCUGCCCCGCCCCCUCUGCCGGGAGGAGGUGCCCCCUGCGGU